rnacentral:lncRNA from 1 species
CUUGUAGUACAACCCACGCAAUAUCAAAAAAUUGGGUCAAUUUAAUUUUUGAAUCUCAAUUCUUAAAACAAAGGUCCUUAUUUAACAAGAUUGACCCAAGUCUCAAAGGAAGCCCAAAAACAUAAAAUUAACCUAAUUUCACAAAUCCUAGCAAUCCUCAUUAUCACCCACACCACCCAUUUUUGAUGAUGGCACCAACUAUGACGACCCCAAAAGAGGUCGCUACAGUUGUCGCCACAGUU